rnacentral:lncRNA from 1 species
AGCCUUGAGAACUUUGAUCAACUCCUUGAUCUAGAUGAUGGGAUCAACUCCUUGAUCUGCAACCUUAUCUCUUCUUCUCCUCAUUCUUCGCUCUUGAAGAAAAAUCAUCUCAGACUUUUGGCGUGUGAAAAGUGGGACGUCCAACCCUUGGGCGUGGAAGAGAAUAGAGGGAAGAAGGGAGGCAUGGAGAAGGGAGAGACAGAGUCCUUUUUUUUUGUUUUAUCAAAAAUUCUUCUUAGAAACCCUAGAGACCUUCUCUUUAUAUAAUC